AUGGAUCUUCUCCAGUUUGUGCUCAACUUUAAAGGCACACCACCAUGGCUGAACUCGACGGCCAUUACCGCCCUUACAGACCGUUGGAGACCGGAGACGCACUCUUUUCACCUUGCUCUUGGUGAGAUGACCAUCACUUUGGAGGAUAUUGCGAUGAUCUCCGGUCUUCCGAUCGAGGGCAGGGCUCUUACCGGGAAGGUGAGGUCUGAGGGGUGGCGACAAAGGGUUGCAGGUUUGGUUGGUGUUGAACCUCCCCCGUGGAUUCAUGAAACAAAGAAGGAUCCUAGGCCAUCUGGUGUUUUGUUCUCGUGGCUACAAGAACAUUUUUACGAGUGCCCAGAGAAUGCCAGUCCGGCUGUUGUGAAGAGGUACGCCAGGUCUUACUUAUGGAAUCUUUUGACCCAA
rnacentral:rRNA from 1 species